GACGACUGCUAAUGCCGCAUAAUGUCUAUGGACCAGAGUGGGGGACCUUCGGGCCUCACGCCAAAAGAUUAGCCCAAGUGGGAUUAGCUAGUUGGUAAGGUAAUGGCUUACCAAGGCGACGAUCCCUAGCUGGUUUGAGAGGAUGAUCAGCCACACUGGGACUGAGACACGGCCCAGACUCCUACGGGAGGCAGCAGUGGGGAAUAUUGCACAAUGGGCGCAAGCCUGAUGCAGCCAUGCCGCGUGUGUGAAGAAGGCCUUCGGGUUGUGAAGCACUUUCAGUAAGGAGGAAAGGGUAGGUUUUAAUA
rnacentral:rRNA from 1 species